rnacentral:rRNA from 1 species
UACAGAGGGUGCUAGCGUUGUUCGGAAUCAUUGGGCGUAAAGGGCGUGUAGGCGGUUUGUUAAGUCAUGUGUGAAAGCCCCCGGCUCAACCGGGGAACGACGCAUGAAACUGGCAAGCUAGAGUACCGAAGAGGGGGGUGGAAUUCCCGGUGUAGCGGUGAAAUGCGUAGAUAUCGCUUGGAACGCCGAAGGUGAAAACAGGCUGCUGGGGUUGCGCCGACGCUGAGACACGAAAGCCAGGGGAGCAAACGGG